rnacentral:rRNA from 1 species
GACGAACGCUGGCGGCGUGCUUAACACAUGCAAGUCGAACGAUGAAGCCGGAGCUUGCUCUGGUGAAUUAGUGGCGAACGGGUGAGUAACACGUGAGUAACCUGCCCUUGACUCUGGGAUACCGGCUAGAAAGGGUAGCUAAUACCGGAUACGACCCUCGGAGGCAUCCCCAGGGGGUGGAAAGAAUUUCGGUCAAGGAUGGCCUCGCGGCCUAUCAGCUAGUUGGUGAGGUAACGGCGCACCAAGGCGACGACGGGUAGCCGGCCUGAGAGGGUGACCGGCCACACUGGGACUGAGACACGGCCCAGACUCCUACGGGAGGCAGCAGUGGGGAAUAUUGCACAAUGGGCGCAAGCCUGAUGCAGCAACGCCGCGUGAGGGAUGACGGCCUUCGGGUUGUAAACCUCUUUUAGUAGGGAAGAAGCGAAAGUGACGGUACCUGCAGAAAAAGCACCGGCUAACUACGUGCCAGCCGCCGCGGUAA